AUGUCAAAGGGUAUUGUUGUGGUUUGCAGUGGUGGUAAUGAAGGACCCGAGCCACAUUCAAUUAAAAACGAUGCACCAUGGUUGAUCACAGUCGUUGCCGGCUCGGUGGAUCGAAGUUUUGAUGUUGGCGUCAAUCUCGGCAACGGCAUGAGCCUUCACGGUGAAGCGCUUAACCAGGUGGCAAAGCCGAUGUCAAAGAUGUAUCCACUCCUCUACUCCGAGGCACAGCGGGACUGUAACUACAUGGUUAACCAUGCUGUCGCCCAGAAGAUCGUGGUUUGUGACUCAGAGGCUCCUUGGUUCGUCGAUUCCAUACUGCAAGCCGGCGCGGCCGGGGUAGUGCUAGACAACAAGGCAUCCGAUGGCUACACGGUUUCUCUUGAUGACGACAACUCCGGUGUGGUGCAAAUGAGCGCGCGCGACGGCGCCGUCCUCAGAGCUUACGCGGCAUCAUCAAGCAGAUCGGCACGCGCUAGCUUCUCAUACCACAAGACAUUCCUUGGUUAUCGUCCGGCCCCUGUAGUGGCAUCGUUCUCUUCUCGAGGUCCAAGCAAGCAUUUCCCCGGCGUGCUCAAACCAGACAUAUUGGCGCCGGGGCUGAACAUCCUCGCUGCAUGUCCGUGGACGGAGUCCAAAAUAGGCCCUUUCAACAUAUUAUCCGGCACAUCGAUGGCAGCGCCACACAGCAGUGGUGUUGCAGCGCUUAUCAAGAGCUUGCAUCCUGAUUGGUCCCCAGCAGCCGUCAAGUCGGCCAUGAUGACGACUGCGUACGUUGUUAAUAGCACUGGUGGCUCGGUCUUGGACGAGAAGCACGGGAAAGCGGACGCGUAUGCGAUGGGCGCGGGCCAUGUGAAUCCAACAAGAGCCGCUGACCCUGGCUUGGUGUACGACCUGGGUGUCACCGACUAUGCUGGCUACAUCUGCUGGCUCCUCGGUGAUAGAGGUAACAAGAGCUUGACCUGCGCAAAGCUACCAAAGGUCAGAGAUGUUGAGCUCAACUACCCAACUAUAACUGUGCCAUUGAAGCCGACCGCCUUCAUGGUGAAUCGGACGGUGACGAACGUCGGGCCACCAUCAUUAACAUACGUUGCGAAGUUGGACAUGCCCAAGUCACUUACAGUACGCGUCACCCCGAACAAGCUGGUGUUCUCGAAGGCUAGGGAGAAGAAGAGCAGUUCAGGGCAGUUCAGGGCAGUACAACCGGACCACACACCGGGUUCUCAACUGUCCAGGGACCUUGCGCUGAUCAAAGCAAGUCACAUACAAUGGAACUGCGAGCUGCUGGACUUGCCCUAG
rnacentral:rRNA from 1 species